ACUUCUAAAUGAUGGAAUCAUGUCUCAGACAUCCAAGGAAGGAUAAGAGCGGCAUUAGCUCUCAAGCCCGGCGAAGGCGAAAGUUCUUAGUCGGCCACUGCGAAUGUUUUGAGAAACAAGCCUUUGGAUUUGUCAUCGUCGACAUUGGAUACAAAGAAGAAAUUUACAAGUCCAACUUCUUUAUCAUUUCAGGAGAAAACUAAAUAAAUGCAAAUUCAACACACAUUCGAAAGCAAGCAAGCAAACAAACAAUUAGAUGCAAAUAUGUUACAAACGAUAGAAAGUUAGAAAAUUGAAUGGUGUCGAUGGAAAACUAAUUCGGAGUCUAAGACAUCCAAGGAAGGUUGAAAGGGCAACAUAAGCUCUCAAGCCCGGCGAGGUGAAAGCUAUAUCAGGCAGCCACUGCGAAUGUUUCUGAGAAACAAGCCUUUGGAUUUGUCAUCACGGACAGUAACACGGCACAAAACCACAAGAAAUCGGGGACGAAAUUAUACUUGCAGGUCUAUCAACUACGAAAAAUUAUUAACCUAAGAAGCUCGAUUCGAAUACUGUAU